CUUAUUUCCUACAACGAAAUGAAGAGAGUGAUCUUGGCGAUACUACUGCUCGUUUCCCUGGCGGCGUCCACGCAAGCGGCAUGCGGCGCGUACAACAGCCGAACACACAUUUGCUGCAAUGGAAGGCUCAGUUAUAAAGGUUCGAACAACGCAUGCUGCAAUACUUCUGCGUACAACAGCCGAACCCACAUUUGCUGCAAUGGAAGGCUCAGUUAUAAAGGCCUAAACAAUUCGUGUGGUUAAAUCUAUGCAUACAUCUAUGUUUGCGAUAUACAUGCAUGUUGCGAACAGUAAUCUACAUUGUUAUGUAUGGGUACAGGCGGAUUUCUCCAUAAACUGAACUGAUAUGAUUGAGUGCCACUUGUUCAUAUGCUUAUGAAAUGGUAAUGAAUUAUGUAUACUGCGAUGAGCAGAUCGAAUCUAUCUAUAUACUAUUGUAUGGUAAAUUCAUUGUGAUUUUCAAAUGACAAAAUUAUCGUAUCAUUUUGCGGGCAGUACUUUAAUUUGUUUUCUUUCGUUAGUAAGUAGAAUUGAUAAAAUUAAUAUCAUAUCAUAAUGAUGCUAAGAAAAUUAUAGCUACAAAAUGUGCACAUGUGUUUUUUUAAAAUAAUCUUACUAGCUUAAAUGCGGAGAUAUCAUUAAUUAGGGCAAAGAUCGCUAGAAUUUACGGGUAGAAUUAAUCGGUAUGCGUAAUAAUGUAUAAGUAACAUGUUUUUUAGUAAUUACAAAUAUGCGAAUAAAAUCCCGCACGUAAUUAAAUA